rnacentral:lncRNA from 1 species
GACACUCCACUAGUCAGGGAAAUGAGGUGGAACCAGCAAAGAAGACAGAAACAACAGCCACAGAGCUAAAAAGGAGAAGCAAGUGAGUCUCCAAAACUAAGUGAAAAAGAUGUGUUUUGAAGAAAAGGGAGUGAGCAACUGUGUUGAGUGCUGAAGACAGGUCAAGUAUAAAGAGGGCUGAGAUUGGACCACUGGAUUUGGCAGCAUGGAGGUACCUGAUGCCACCAAUUCCUGAGUUUUUCUGCUGUUCAGUGGAGUGGACUAUCGCCUUCAAAUUAGCCUGGCCCUGGGCAGGAAGAGAGAGUACCUGGAUCACCAUGGCAAAAUCGGAGAAGGCGUCACAGAAGAGGAAGAUACGUAUGCGCUUCUUAAUGUGGCAUCAUCUCUAACAAAAUACUUGCAUAAUGCACAUACAUCAGCCACAGUGCCUGGGUCAGCCUCCACGGUAUCUUCAGGGAAAUGAAGACCCUGAAUCAGCCCAUCAGAAGCAGGAGAUCCCUUUCGUCGACCUUCUCAUUCCAUCUCUAUGCUGGAGCAUUCUUGUGACCUAACCAUAUUGAAACUGCCUUUGCAAAAUAUGACUGAGACAGUGAAAGAGCAACAUGGUGUAGUGAAAAGAAAGCAGGCUUUGGAAUGGAUAGAACUAUACUUGAAUCUCUGCUCUAUCACCUUAUCAUGUUAUGUCAAGCAAGUUACGGAACCUCCAUCAUUUGUCAGGUAGGGAAAUCU